rnacentral:rRNA from 1 species
UACAGAGGGUGCGAGCGUUGUUCGGAAUUAUUGGGCGUAAAGCGCUUGUAGGCGGCACGUCAAGUCGCGUGUGAAAUCCCCAGGCUUAACCUGGGAAGUGCGCGCGAAACUGACGAGCUUGAGUGCCGGAGAGGGUCGCGGAAUUCCCGGUGUAGAGGUGAAAUUCGUAGAUAUCGGGAGGAACACCAGUGGCGAAGGCGGCGACCUGGACGGACACUGACGUUGAUGCACGAAGGCCAGGGGAGCAAACGGG